rnacentral:rRNA from 1 species
GUGUCAGCCGCCGCGGUAAUACAGAGGUCCCAAGCGUUGUUCGGAUUCACUGGGCGUAAAGGGUGCGUAGGCGGUCGGGUAAGUCUGAUGUGAAAGCUCGCGGCUCAACUGCGAAAUGGCAUCGGAAACUCUCCGGCUAGAGGGUUGGAGGGGGGACUGGAAUUCUCGGUGUAGCAGUGAAAUGCGUAGAUAUCGAGAGGAACACCAGUGGCGAAGGCGAGUCCCUGGACAACUCCUGACGCUGAGGCACGAAAGCUAGGGGAGCAAACAGGAUUAGAUACCCCCGUAGUCC